UUGAUUAUGCAUUUGUUUUAAUGUACAUAGAUUAUGAGAUUGACAAGAAAAACAUGUUGCAGCACAUUGAUUUGGGGUUGUAUCUCAUCCGGAAGCGACAACAAGAGUUGGAGGAAGUAGAAAUAUCGGACUGGACAACGACCGAUGUAUUUUUUAUGAAUCACAUUCAUACUUGCUUUGCGGAUAAUAAAAG